rnacentral:lncRNA from 1 species
GAAUUAACUGUACCUGUAAACACCAUCUGUCUUUUCUUUUUUUCUUUGUUUCCGUCUCCCUUGAAGCCUUGAUGCUUCACCCAUGUAGCUUAAUUCACCUCCUAAAUGAAUGAAGCGGGUAGCAUGCUACUUUUUUCUCAAAAAAAAAAAAGCGCUUAGUGCUAUUAGGUUUUCGGCCCUUAGAUUAAGGAAUUUGCGGUUAGGAUGAUAGUGGUCCCCUAGAGUUGAGUGGGUAGUUAGUUGAUAGUAUGAUUUAAUGGAUGAAAAUGGUCAAAGGAAUAAAUCUAACGGUGGAAAACUCGAUAGCACCAAGCGCUUGGUACUAUCGAUAGUAUAGUAGCUGAACUAAGUUUUACCUUUGAC